CUAACGGCUAACUACCUGUGUGAUGGCCCAGAGCUGCAGCAGAGAGGAGACUGACGUCCCUCUUUAUCCUGAAACAGCGUCCGCACAUUUGAUUGGCUCUAGCUUCCAAAGUUUCUCCUGCUGUUACAAAGUGGCAGGAAGUGGAGCUGCUGCUGGAGAUAAAGCACAGAGCUGGGUGGUUACAGGUGUGACUCAGGUACCUUCUUCCUGUUUACAGCAGGAGGAGCCAGGAAGAGCUGGAGCUACAGCACGCCGUCGAUCACGCAGAAGAAGAAAAACACAACUGGACAAAAAUCACCUCGCAGUGUUUUAAACUAAAGAGGAACCCAGCAAUCAGCCCACAGCCUACGAGCAGCAGCGGGGGACAGUGGGGAGGAAGAACUGUCUUCAAACAGGAAGAAACUUGAAAGAGCUUGCAGAAUAAAACGUGAAUAA